rnacentral:rRNA from 1 species
UACGUAGGGUGCGAGCGUUGUCCGGAAUUAUUGGGCGUAAAGAGCUCGUAGGCGGUGUGUCACGUCGGCCGUGAAAACCUGCAGCUUAACUGUGGGCGUGCGGUCGAUACGGGCAUCACUGGAGUUCGGCAGGGGAGACUGGAAUUCCUGGUGUAGCGGUGAAAUGCGCAGAUAUCAGGAGGAACACCGGUGGCGAAGGCGGGUCUCUGGGCCGAUACUGACGCUGAGGAGCGAAAGCCGGGGGGAGCAAACAGG